CUGGACAGCUACCACCAUCUAUAAGCGACGGCGGCAACCAGACAACCGGCAAGCCGGUUGUCUGGCUGCCGCCGUCGCUCAUAGAUGGCGGUAGCUGUCCA
rnacentral:pre_miRNA from 1 species